UCCAGCCCUGAGAUUACCAUGCUAAUCCCCACAAUAGCUCUGUGCAGCUGGUUUGAACAACUAUCAGCACUAUUGUUUAUGUUGUCAUCUCUGCUGGAUCGUUCUCACGAGGAGGAACCGUUUCAGCGGAUUUGUGUUCACUUUUUCGGAUGGAAUUUCUCGGAAUGACGACCGCUUCCACUAAAAUGAUUGGAACAGGCUCGGUGUUAUGUCAACAACAGACGAAGUGGAAUCCCCCCAAAGUUCAAUGUGCAUUACUUGGUUGUUCUUCAGAAAUAGUCACAUCACUACAUGAGGCCGUGGGAAAUACUGAAAUAUCCUGUCGAAGGCUACAAGAAAGUAACACAAAAAGACAACAUAUCAAGUAGGAGCACACUCACAGACUAUCCGCCCAGUGAAUGCUCAACUUUUUACAUUACGUGUUCUGGGAUAAGCUCCAGCCUCACUCCUGUGACCUUGAGCAGGAUACAGAGGAAAAAGGUGGAAAAUUAAAUUCAGCUUCCAAAUCCAAAGA